UACGGAGGGUGCGAGCGUUAUCCGGAUUCACUGGGUUUAAAGGGUGCGUAGGCGGGCUUGUAAGUCAGUGGUGAAAGCCCGGGGCUUAACUCCGGAACUGCCGUUGAUACUGCAAGCCUUGAGUACAGUUGAGGUGGGCGGAAUACAUCAUGUAGAGGUGAAAUUCUUAGAUAUGAUGUAGAACACCGAUUGCGAAGGCAGCUCACUAAAGUGUAACUGACGCUGAGGCACGAAAGCGUGGGGAUCAAACAGG
rnacentral:rRNA from 1 species